AGCUAGAAACAAAACGACUGACCACUGAGAGACGCAAACAACUGCCUCUCCGCCAAAUCCCUCUCUCUCUCUCUCUGUCUCUCUUUUCGGUUCAUUUGUUUUCUUAUUUUUUCACUUGCAACAAUUAUUUUCUCUUGGUUGUAGCGUGAAGCGUCCCUGUCAAAAAUAUUUAAGUAUGAAGGCUAACGGUGGCAACAUAAAAGAGUAUUAAGGUUUGAA
rnacentral:misc_RNA from 1 species